GCGGUGUGUUUUUCGUGGUUUUAAUCCUGGCAGUGGAGGAGAACAAUAUCAUACACGACAUAAAACAGCGAUGAAGGCUGUGCCAUUGGGAGGGUGUGGCUAGCAACUCUAGCCAUCAUCAGAGCUCUAAUGAUGGCUAGAGUUGCUAGUCUGAACAUUUCAAGGUGAACAACAAUUUUAUUACUGUGCUGUGUCAGGGGCAGAUUUAGGACUGAAGAAGAUCCGGGGCUUAAAGAGCGGGUCAAUUGAGCCUCGGAGUCCUUCUCCACCCACGUAUCAAUUUUAAAAAAUGCAACAUUAGUAGGCGUUGCCUGGAGGAUCGAGAGGGCGGAGCCGCGGCAGUGACGAAGACGAUGGCUAACUAGACGAAGCUAGCUCCCUUCACUCUGAGCAGUUGAUAGAAGUGGAGGACGUUUCUCCCCCUCCUUACAGACACUCGAGAAGAAAGGGACCAAGUCUAUUUGGAGGAGACAAGCGGACCUGAGUCUUAUUGUUUUGAGCUUGUGAGUUGCCUGAAACUCCCAGAACCGACCCAACAGAAUCACCUCUGAAAGGUCCUCUGGUGUCUGCAGCUGGUCUCUGGUGUCUGCAGCUGGUCUCCUCUGCUGGUGUCCUCAGGAUCAGGAACUUCCAGAAGAAUGUGCCUUUCAAUGACUCUUUCCCCCUUAUUUGUUAUAUUAAUUAAAUUUCUCUCAAUUUAUAUAUUUCCUGUUUUUGUUCAUGUCCAUAAAUACUUAAACAUGCUUGAAAUUAGAACGAGCUUUUAACAGUGAGGUGCUAGUUUAAUUAAUCACAAUAGCUAGUUAAACAUGCAACAAAAAUGUGAUAUUCAAUGUAAUUUAUAAAUAUCCAUUAAAAUAUCAAAACUGGAA